rnacentral:rRNA from 1 species
GGCGAACGCUGGCGGCAGGCCUAACACAUGCAAGUCGAGCGAAGCCUUCGGGCUUAGCGGCGGACGGGUGAGUAACGCGUGGGAACGUGCCCUUUGGUACGGAAUAGCCCCGGGAAACUGGGAGUAAUACCGUACGUGGUCGAGAGACGAAAGAUUUAUCGCCAAAGGAUCGGCCCGCGUUGGAUUAGGUAGUUGGUGGGGUAAUGGCCUACCAAGCCGACGAUCCAUAGCUGGUUUGAGAGGAUGAUCAGCCACACUGGGACUGAGACACGUCCCAGACUCCUACGGGAGGCAGCAGUGGGGAAUCGUAGACAGUGGGGGAAACCCUGAUCUAGCCAUGCCGCGUGAUCGAUGAAGGCCUUAGGGUUGUAAAGAUCUUUCAGUGGGGAAGAUAAUGACUGUACCCACAGAAGAAGCCCCGGCUAACUCCGUGCCAGCAGCCGCAGUAA